CAUAGGCAGUGGCUUGGUUAAAGGAACCCACCGGAGCCGUAGCGAAAGCGAGUCUUCAUAGGGUAAUUGUCACUGCUUAUGGACCCGAACUUGGGUGAUCUAUUCAUGACCAGGAUGAAGCUCGGGUGAAACUAAGUGGAGGUCCGAACCGACUGAUGUUGAAGAAUCAGCGGAUGAGUUGUGGUUGGGGGUGAAAUGCCACUCGAACCCAGAGCUAGCUGG
rnacentral:ncRNA from 1 species